rnacentral:lncRNA from 1 species
AUGUGGCUAGAGACUACUUUUUUGGACAAGAUGAAUACAGAUACUAAAUACAUAACAAUCACUUUCCUCUUUCUGUUGGAUUUUAAAGAAUCUUUAUUUCUCUUAUCAAGAAGUAUAGCACAUUCAACAGACUGGCUUUUCAUUGCAAAACACUCUGUGGAGGACAACAUGAUUAGCAGGAAGAAAAGACAAAAUGCCACUCUGAAAAGUAAUUGUUUGAAGUGCUCUGCGGGGGAAAAAAUCAUGUUCAAUGUAUUCCAUGCCAUUGCUUCUGUGUAUGCAGGUUCAGUCUCACAGGUCAUCAUGUAUAGAAGCUAA